GGGCCAAGCCAGCAGGAAACCUCCUCGUCAUGCUCCAAUCCCAACCCCAAUCCCUGGAUCCGAUCUCACAAUACCUGGGGCAGGCGGAGGCCGCCGCCGUUGUGCUCCUCCUGCCGCUCACCCCGACCACCACUGCGGCAACGAUGACGACAAGGAUGGAGACAAGGCGGCAGCGCCGUCUCCAGUGCAAUCCGGAGCGCGCCGUCCACGCCGCCGAACCGGCUAUCCUGUGAACCUCUCGGUCCACAUCAUUCAUGCUUGGCUUCCCACCAUUGAUCGACUUCGCCUUUCCCGUCCCGAUGCAGCGACCGCCCGCCCGCGUGCCCUGGACCUUCCGCCGGCUCCCGGAUCCAUCUGCCUCUUGCAGCCGUCGCCAGCCCCCUUCUACCUCGAGAUUUAAAUUAAAUACUACUAAAGAUAGGUCUAGGCCAAACGAGGCAGCAGAGUCCGUUUCUGGUGAGAAACGGGGUGGAGACGAUGCAGGAGAGGGCAAGAGAUAGAGCGAGAGUGGAGUCGUCGGAGCUGCCGAUGUGGGGUAAAACGGAGAUCACCGGCGGGGAUUUCUCGAGGCUGCACCACCGAAUCAAAAUCCUAGGCGCCGUGAAUGUGGCCAGGUUUGAUUGGCUAACUAAGGAGUGCUGGGAAGGUGGGGAAGAUGCACGUGUCGCGACGGUGCAUCGGAAAUUGGCGAAGGCUCGUCUCGGCAAACAAGAAGCUAUGGAUACAUGCGCGUCUAGCCGCAAGCCAUCUUCAUUGUUGUUCAUGGAGUCCAACAGUAUUCUACACACGAAUGACAUCCAUUGAGGAGAUCUCUUAAAUAGCAUCGGAUGCCACACAAGCCUGAUGGCUAAUGUUUCCGCUCCGUUGACGACCCCCACCGACGCCUCCAAUGACAUAAGAUUUGUUCUCCCUGGUGCAAAAUCAGACAGAUUCUCUAUGGACAAGAAUCUGGGAAAAAAAAGGAUCCCUCCCCUACUGAAUUAUGUAUGUUAAGAUCAACACGGAAAAUUUCUAUUUCUAUAAAUAUCUUUAGUCUA